rnacentral:rRNA from 1 species
GACGAACGCUGGCGGCGUGCUUAACACAUGCAAGUCGAACGGAAAGGCCCUGCUUUUGUGGGGUGCUCGAGUGGCGAACGGGUGAGUAACACGUGAGUAACCUGCCCUUGACUUUGGGAUAACUUCAGGAAACUGGGGCUAAUACCGGAUAGGAGCUCCUGCUGCAUGGUGGGGGUUGGAAAGUUUCGGCGGUCGGGGAUGGACUCGCGGCUUAUCAGCUUGUUGGUGGGGUAGUGGCUUACCAAGGCUUUGACGGGUAGCCGGCCUGGGAGGGUGACCGGCCACAUUGGGACUGCGAGACGGACCAGACUCCUACGGGAGGCAGCAGUGGGGAAUAUUGCACAAUGGGCGGAAGCCUGAUGCAGCAACGCCGCGUGCGGGAUGACGGCCUUCGGGUUGUAAACCGCUUUCGCCUGUGACGAAGCGUGAGUGACGGUAAUGGGUAAAGAAGCACCGGCUAACUACGUG